GGGGAUGUAGCUCAGAUGGUAGAGCGCUCGCUUAGCAUGCGAGAGGUAAAGGGAUCGAUACCCUUCUUCUCCA
rfam:Dictyostelium discoideum AX4 chromosome 2, whole genome shotgun sequence.